rnacentral:rRNA from 1 species
UACGUAGGGCGCGAGCGUUGUCCGGAAUUAUUGGGCGUAAAGAGCGCGUAGGCGGUUUGUCGCGUCUGCCGUGAAAGUCCGGGGCUCAACUCCGGAUCUGCGGUGGGUACGGGCAGACUAGAGUGAUGUAGGGGAGACUGGAAUUCCUGGUGUAGCGGUGAAAUGCGCAGAUAUCAGGAGGAACACCGAUGGCGAAGGCAGGUCUCUGGGCAUUAACUGACGCUGAGGAGCGAAAGCAUGGGGAGCGAACAGG